GGAAAAAUACUUUUAUAUAGUUAGAAAGAUUUGAUUUGCAGUCAGAAAGAGAUUUAUUACUCUUUUUCCA
rnacentral:tRNA from 1 species